GAUCGAUUGAGAAUAUACUUCAAUCUUAACUAAAAAGAAAGUAGGUACGAUACAUUCAAGACAUCGUUUUCUCAGAGUGUAGAACACCUAUAGUUAUGUUACUUAUCUUUCUAGUGCAUUGUGCAAGUCAAAUAGCAACUGCAGUACACCAGAUCCUGAUCUAAUAUUUAAGUAAGAUCUAGAGAUGAACCUACUUUUCAACACUAAUGGAAAAAAAAACCUAAAGAGAUGAAGAAAAUGCAGAAUAUCUUCAAGAUAUUGGAGCAUUUUAGAGUGGAACAUAAUUACAAUCACUAUCUGCUGUACUGUGAUUUGUGAAUCUACUAAUUUUCGAGCAUGGUUUUCUUCUGAAGAACAGCUAAAAUGCAAGAUUUGGGAAAACAUUGUUUCGAGAAACAUCUAAAGGCUUUGUUUUUGUUGACGAGGGCGAGAUCGAAAGCUCAAACCAAUUUCCGCACGCGUUAUCCAAUGAAUGAGGCGGAUUUAACAAAAUACACAGACAUAAUUUUGAUUUAAUUUCUUCUGAAGAACACAGAAAAUGCAGGAUGAAAACUUUUUCGAGAACCAUCUAAAGGCCUUUGUUCUUAUAACGAUCAGAAGCUCAAACCAUUUUCUGCACGCGUUAUCCAAUGAAUGAGGCUGAUUCCACAAGAUCAACAGACACAAUUGUGAUUUAUUAUGGAUAUUUUAAUACAUUCUCUAACUUUAUUAGGGCGGAAGCAAAAGGAAAACAGAAAAUCAACUAAAUUUGAGGAUUCAUCAGUCGUAAUACACGACUGCUUGAUUUGGAAUUGCAGACUUGGAACAUGAUUUAUCAAUCCGCCAUUGCCAUCCAUAAUAACAAGCAUAAUUCAUUCGCGGUUAUCACGAUAUCGAUGGCUAGAAAAAAUAAUUUCACCAAUUUCAGUAUGGAAAAUAUUCUAUUCGAUGUAUAAUGUUUUUCAAAACAGCUGAUCUGUAUCUUGGAUUGGCAAGUUUUGAUUUUCGAUCGCAUAAGGAAUUUUUUGGGAAAAUAAAUGAUCGAUAUAAUUAUUAUGCAGUGUAGACCGCCGCAUUACUGCAGAAACGGUUGACCUAACAAAAAACCUGUACCAAUUGUAUCAUUGUAUCCUUUGGUUUUUCACAAGGAGGUCAUCUAUAGAAUCAGCUGAGAAACAUGGUUCAUAAAACAACACCUACAGCAAAUAUUGGAGCUAGGUACCGAUGAAGUAAUUUCCCGGUAAGACGAACUCUAAAGUAACAGAAACAUAAAGUAAGGAUUUACUGAGUAUAGAAAAACAGAGAGAACGUAGAUAAAUCAUAAUAAGCUAUGAAAAAGUAGGCUACAGAAGAUCCAAGUAUUUAUUUAACUUUCAAAAUGUUGAAUUACUUACGUUUAACAUUUUUUGUAUCAAUCUCUGAGUUUCUUUUAGCAAGUAUUUUAUGUUGUUGGACACGCAAUUCAGAAUAGAAAUCAGCGCUCAUGAAACGGCGAUCAACAAUACCAUUGCUAAAGAGGAUAUUCUUCAAAAAAUUUGUCUGAAUACUGGGUUUGUUGAUCCUCGGAAGCUGAAAAUUUUCAGGGGCAAAAAAAAUAAUCUAUAGUUUUUUCAUCCACUUGCACUAUGUUGUUAUUGUACCUAGAAUAAUCGUCUACAAGAGAAUACUGAUUUCUCUUACUAAUGAUUUCAGGUCGAUGAAAAGUCUCAAAUACCGUACAUGCAUUUUGGAACAUUGGUAAAUUUUCUUAAAAUGGGUCCAGGGGCUAGAGCGAAAAAAUCACUCUCAAUUCUUUCGAAAAUGCAUAGUCUUUUGAAGAUCCAUAUCUCCCCUUCAAAAGCACUUUUAAUUUUUUUGGAAUGACAAUUCAACUACAUAUUUAACUCAAAAUGAAUGACUGCGCUGAAUUCGGCCAAAACCUUCGUCUUUUUUUUCGCUAUCCGCCAUAAAUUUACCAAUGCAAAAGAUGAAACUUGAAAUCAACGUAAGUAUCAAAAAUAUCGAUUGACCUGCUAAGUCAAUUUCAAAAGUACCUAUCCUGUUUAUUAUUAUAGAAUUUUCUCGAAAAAUUAUUCGUCGAUAAAUCCUUGAAGUUUAUCAAAAAUAUAUUUCCGAAUAGUUCAGCGUGGUCGAUUAGGUAAUGAUCUCAUUAAUAAAUUAUCAAUCAUAGAUUUAGGCAUCAUUCGAUACAUUCUAAUUAAAAAAUGAUUCGAUUUCUUUUUAAACACGAGUACCUACAUCAUGAUAAAAGAUACGCACUUGAUUAAAUUCUUAAUCAUUCGCAAGAAUUUUCAAUUACGAUCGAUUGAGGAUAUACUUCAAUAUCAACCAAAAAGAAGUAGACACAUUCAAGACAACGUUUUCUCAGAGUGUAGAACACCUAUAGUUAUAUUGUCUUUUUUGUGCAAGUCAAAUGGCAACUACAGAACACCAACGCCAGAUCCUGAUCUAUUUAAGUGAGAUCUAGAGAUGAAUCUACUUUACGCCCAAAGGAAAAAAAAACUAGAUCAAGAUAUUGGAGCAUUUUAGAUUGGAACACGAUUGCUAUCUGUUUGACUGUGAUUUGUGAAUCUGGCGCUGAAUUUCAAAAACCGAACAACAUCCUACCUAAAUUUUCAAAUGACGUUUCCUUGAAACAUUUCUCCGUAUAUCAAAAGGAUUUGCUUAAUUCACACGCGAAGAAAACCGGAGAGAUGAUCAACUGAAGUUGGACUAAAUGCGGCAUAAUAUUAUGUAGACAGACCAUUUCUGGAGAACUUAUAGAGAAGAAGUGAAAGUGCGUAAAAGUUCGGUGACAUAUUCCCUUUCAUAUCUUUCUUGCAUCGGCGAAUCCACUGAAGAUUUGGAAUGUCUUUCUACUUUUUUCGAAAUUUCUGCCAACUAAAAACCCUCCUCUCGAGCCUGUUCAACGAAAUGAUGCGCAACAACUGUACAAAUUUUCGAGCAUAUUUGGAUUUCUUCUGAAGAACACAGAAAAUGGAAAACUUUAUUCAGAACCUUGAAAAAUAUCUAGAGGCUUUGUUCUUGUAACAAUUAGAAACUCAAACCAAUUUUCGCACGCGUUAUUCAAUUCAAUGAUGCUGAUUUCGUGAGAUCUAUGGAUACAAUUUGUGCUUUAUAAGGAUAUCAUAUCUGGAUAUCUUAAAACAUAAUAUUUCUAUCGCCUCAAGUCGGAAAUAAAGGCAAACAGAAAUUCAAUUAAAUUUGAAGAUUCACCAAUCGUAAAUUCGUACACGACUGGUUGAUUUGGAAUAGCAGACUUGGCACCUGCUGAUUUAUUAAUCAGCCAACAUAAUAAUAAGCAUUAUAACGAUAUCGAUGGCUAGAAAAAAUUUCCGUAUGCAAAAUAUUCUAUUCGAUGAAUUAUGUUUUUCAUAACAGGCUGAUCUGUAUCUUGGAUUGUCUUAGGCAAGUUUUGAUUUUCGAUCACAUCAGUAAAUUUUUGGGAAAACAAAUGAUCGAUACAUUAUGUGGAAUGUGGUGCACACUGCAAUACUAGUACCUACAGAAUCAGUAGUACAAAAAAGAAAUGAAGCGCAAGUUGGUAUUUGUUGAUUUCUCACGGCGACCACCUGUUGUGAAUUAGUUUAGAAAUACAAAUGGAUACGGAACAGAAAACAACACCUAAUCUCAAAAGUAACAGAAAACGAAAGUACAAGGAUAUAUUGAGUAGAAAAACAGAGAAAACGUAAAUCAGAAUGAACUAUAGAAAAGGUACAGAAUACCCAAGUACCAGUAUUUUAACUACGAGGUGAUAAAUUACGUUUAACAUUUAGUACGUAUCAAUCUCUGAGUUUUUUGUAGCAAGUACACUGUACAGUGUACAUAUUUGAUGUUGGACACCGAAUUCAGAAUAGAAAUCUGCGUUCAUGAAACGGCGAUCAACAGUACCAUUGCUGAAGACGAUAUUAUUCUUCGAACAAUUUGGAUGAAUUUAAUUGGGUGGUCAUUGGAAGCGAUGAACAUUCUCUUGUGUAAAAAAUAAUCUAUAGUUUUUUUUCCAACUGAGGUGUUAGGUACACUGUAGAAGCUUCUAAAUGAGAACUGUGAUUUCUCUUACUAACGAUAUCGUGGAGGGAAAAAUGAGCAUUCUUUCGUUGAUAUUACAAAUAAUGAUAAGUGAACUGUGAAUCUGAUAAUAAAAUUUUGAUAAGAAGGAAA